GUCUACAGCCAUGCCACCCUGAACAAGCCCAAUGUCUGAUCUCUGAAGCUAAGCAGGGUCAGGCCUGGUUAGUACUUGGAUGGAAGACCACCUAGGAAGACCAGGUGCUGUAGGCA
rnacentral:rRNA from 1 species